rnacentral:misc_RNA from 1 species
GUAGGUGAACCUGCGGAAGGAUCAUUAUCAUUUUGAUCUAAUCCUAAACAAACCGCGAACUGUUCUUCUGUUGUUCUUUGGACUCGCAAGGGUCUAUCGAAUGGCAGAGCCUUGAGUGCUCUAUCGGGGAGAUUCACUUCGCUUCUUUUUCUUAUUUCUCUUUUAGAGUGCUUUUAACCAAUUGAACCAAUUUUAAUUUAUGACUGAAUUAUUCUUUUUCUUACCUAACCUAAAAAAUUAGGAAGAAGAA